rnacentral:rRNA from 1 species
CAGAGUGACGACAUCAUUGAGGCAUCUUGGUCAAUGGACGAGAGUCUGAACCAGCCAAGUAGCGUGAAGUCUUCCUUCCCUCUUUUUUUUCCCCUUCUUUUCUCUUUUCCUCCCCUUUUCCCCUUUUGGUAUUUUGUAUGUACCAUAUGAAUAAGGCUCGUCUAACUCCGUGCCAGCCUCCUCGGUAAUACGGCGGAUCCUCUCGUUCUCCGUCUUUAUUGGGGUUAAAGGGAGCGUAGGUGGAUUGUUAAGUCAGUUGUGAAAGUUUGCGGCUCAACCGUAAAAUUGCAGUUGAAAAGGGCAGUCUUGAGUACAGUAGAGGUGGGCGGAAUUAGGGGGGGAGAGGUGAAAGGCUUAGAGAUCACGAAGAACUCCGAUUGCGAAGGCAGUUCAAGGGACGGAAAAGGACACUGAGGCGCGAAAGUGGGGGGAGAAAACAGGAGGAGAGAAAAGAGGAGGC